UUCCAUCUAGCCAUGUGUGAACGGUCAUGUCUCCUUGUUGUAAAAUACUGCUGCUUCGAGUUCUUCCUAGAAAGCUCUAUUUUGUGCGGCUUGAUUUGGAAGGUUUGGUGGAGAUUGUGGUGGUGAGGGAAGUGGAGGUAUAAGGGGUUCCAAUAAUAGAGUGUGUGUCUGUGGGACUGAGUAUAGUUGUAUCCAUGGUAUUACAGGAAUUGGGGUAGGAGGUAGGUAAAAAUGCAGUUGAAGAAGAUUGGAGUGGAGAUGAGUGAGAUCCCAUAUUGGUACUGGAAGAUGUAAAGGAUGGUAUGGUGCAAGAUAAGGGGCUUGCAUCAUAGACCAAUGGUACCUACCAUAGAUUCCCGUCCCUAGGCUCAUUCCCUCCGCUACUAUUUGCGCAAGGUCCCUCAAACUGUUGAUUGGAUUGUCACUUCUUGGUGGUUUACCUCUAUUUUGAAGGUUAAAGCAUGAUUCUGAAGGCCUAUCUCUAGCCAAGAUGAUGGUUCUGUCAUUGUAUGUGGUGUUUGGGCUGUGUAUAUUAUUUGUUAGGUUCCAUUAUGAGAUGUGAAUGAGGGAGUGAGUAUGGAGUUUAAUGGUGGUGAGACGAUGAAUAGUCUGUCUAUUGGUGGUGUUGGAGUGUCUCGUAGGUGCUUGAAAUUGUUUGGAAACAUCUUUUUUAUUUGAAGGAGGUGAUAAAGGAUGGUGAGUGAUUU
rnacentral:lncRNA from 1 species